UACGUAGGCCGCGAGCGUUGUUCGGAAUUACUGGGCGUAAAGAGUGUGUAGGCGGUGCUCCAAGUCUGUUGUGAAAUCUCCCGGCUUAACUGGGAGGGUGCAGCGGAAACUGGAAUGCUAGAGGGUGGGAGAGGUAAGCGGAAUUCCUGGUGUAGCGGUGAAAUGCGUAGAUAUCAGGAGGAACACCUGUGGUGUAGACAGCUUACUGGACCACUUCUGACGCUGAGACACGAAAGCGUGGGUAGCAAACAGG
rnacentral:rRNA from 1 species